GUCUAGGAUUAACUGUCAGUACUGGUAAGAACAAGUUAUAAUAGAUUGUGCAGUGAUUUCUGUGGCUUCAUGGAUGUAUUUAUUACCAUUUUUGAACAAAUUACACUAACAUGAAAAGUUGUAUUUGAAAUGAUUGUGUGCUAGAUAAGGUGAUACAUUACAGGAAUGGUUGGGUUUAUGGAGCUUUAUGCAGAGGUUUUCUCAGAAAUUAUAGCACAGGGCUGUCACUAUAAAACCCAGUGAUACAGUUGGUAAUAACAUACAGUGAAGAUAUUUUUAGAUUUUCACUUGUUAUUCAAAUAAGUGAGAAACCUCCAGUUUUUCUCAUCAUAUUUCUUUGUUAGAAUCAGUAGAGAAAAAAAUGAAGGAAAAUUCUUUUAACUGUGUAUGAGGUGUGGGUGUUUGACUUGUCUGAAUUUCCUCGUGUUCACCACUUGUUACAGCAGUGAUGUGAUACUGAGGAUGUCCUUAGGAACUUACUGACUUCUUGGUUCUUGACCUUUUGACUGUGAUCAAGUAGAGAUACUGAAUGCCUGAAAAUGAAAUGAUGGACUCUAUAAACAUAAAUUCUGUUCUGUCAAUGUAUUGCAUGAACUAAUUUUGAUUUGCCUAAAUUUAUGGCAUUUUGUAUUCAAUAAAGGAAAUAUUUCU
rnacentral:lncRNA from 1 species